CCUACGGGAGGCUGCAGUGGGGGAUAUUGGACAAUGGGGGAAACCCUGAUCCAGCGACGCCGCGUGAGUGAAGAAGUAUUUCGGUAUGUAAAGCUCUAUCAGCAGGGAAGAAAGAAAUGACGGUACCUGAGUAAGAAGCCCCGGCUAACUACGUGCCAGCAGCCGCGGUAAUACGUAGGGGGCAAGCGUUAUCCGGAAUUACUGGGUGUAAAGGGAGCGUAGGCGGUAAUGCAAGUCUGGAGUGAAAGGCGUGGGCUCAACCCCAGGACUGCUCUGGAAACUGUGUAACUGGAGUGCAGGAGAGGAAGGCGGAAUUCCUAGUGUAGCGGUGAAAUGCGUAGAUAUUAGGAGGAACACCAGUGGCGAAGGCGGCCUGCUGGACUGUAACUGACGCUGAGGCUCGAAAGCGUGGGGAGCAAACAGGAUUAGAUACCCUUGUAGUC
rnacentral:rRNA from 1 species